AAUGUCAUGGGUGGAAAGAAUAGGUCAUUAAAGUAGUUGAAGAGGGAAGCGAUCGGGGAAGGCUGGAAACAUUCUUGGAGGUGAAACGGUGGGCAGCAAGUGUUUAGUUAAACGGGGCGCAGUGAUAAAUGAAACAGGGAGUUUCUGGAAGAGAUAAGAGUGAGUACGUGUGAUGAGUGAAAUGGGGCAUAUUGUACAUUUUAGUUAAACGGUGCAUUUUGUUCAAAUGUUAGUACAAAAGACCACAGGAAUGGGCUUAAUAGGUAUCUGAAGUGUAUUGUAUGAAUCGAUUGGAGGUUGAGUUUUUCCUCGAAAUAAAGCUCAGUGUUUUCUCUCUUUUAUUUCUAGUUCUUGUUCUUGUUGUCGUGCAUCUCCAGAACUUCCCUAGUAGUCAGUAUUAGAGAGGGAGAUCCUCUCAUGGCUGAAGGUACUCGAGGAAAUUCUUUGAAGGCCUACCAAGAAAUGAACCAAAAGCAACAAGAAGCUAUGCAGCAGCAACUAGAUGAUCAGCAACAAUCAAAACAUGUCAUCUCUGACAGGGACAGGGAAAGAGGUAGGUGCUGGCGACGAUGGAAGAGGGAACAGUGGCAACAGAUUCUCACAAAGUAUCUUUUCAGAUAUUGUACAGUGAGGCAUCUGAAAAGCUUCACUGAAACUGAAAUAAUGAUAUCAUUAAUAAAGUAAUUUAAAUUGAUGUAAAUUAGAAAAAUAUUACUCGAAAGAGAUGAAUUUCUGUGUAUGUCAAAAUAUGUAAGAAAUAGUAGUCUACAUAUUUAUCUAUAAGAGGGGGAAAGGGUUGGAGAAAAAGAAAAGAUUUUAGAUCAUGCUUUCAAAUUUGAUUCAAGCAACAAAAGUCUAGCCAGUUUUUCUUCAA